UGGGGAAUAUUGCACAAUGGGCGCAAGCCUGAUGCAGCCAUGCCGCGUGUGUGAAGAAGGCCUUCGGGUUGUAAAGCACUUUCAGCGAGGAGGAAGGUGGUGAACUUAAUACGUUCAUCAAUUGACGUUACUCGCAGAAGAAGCACCGGCUAACUCCGUGCCAGCAGCCGCGGUAAUACGGAGGGUGCAAGCGUUAAUCGGAAUUACUGGGCGUAAAGCGCACGCAGGCGGUUUGUUAAGUCAGAUGUGAAAUCCCCGGGCUCAACCUGGGAACUGCAUUUGAAACUGGCAAGCUAGAGUCUCGUAGAGGGGGGCUAGAAUUCCAGGUGUAGCGGUGAAAUGCGUAGAGAUCUGGAGGAAUACCGGUGGCGAAGGCGGCCCCCCUGGACGAAGACUGACGCUCAGGUGCGAAAAGGCGUGGGGGCAGCAAACAGGAUUAGAUACCCCUGGUAGUCCAGCGCUGUAAAACGAUGUCGAUUUUGGAGGUUGUGCCCUUGAGGCGUGGCUUCCGGAGCUAACGCGUU
rnacentral:rRNA from 1 species